ACUCCUACGGGAGGCAGCAGUGGGGAAUCUUGCACAAUGGGCGAAAGCCUGAUGCAGCGACGCCGCGUGAGCGAUGAAGCCCUUCGGGGUGUAAAGCGCUUUCGACGGGAACGAUAAUGACGGUACCCGGAGAAGAAGCUGCGGCUAACUACGUGCCAGCAGCCGCGGUAAUACGUAGGCAGCGAGCGUUGUUCGGAAUUACUGGGCGUAAAGAGUGUGUAGGCGGUGUUCCCAGUCUGUUGUGAAAUCUCCCGGCUUAACUGGGAGGGUGCAGCGGAAACUAGAAUGCUAGAGGGUGGGAGAGGUAAGCGGAAUUCCUGGUGUAGCGGUGAAAUGCGUAGAUAUCAGGAGGAACACCUGUGGUGUAGACAGCUUACUGGACCACUUCUGACGCUGAGACACGAAAGCGUGGGUAGCAAACAGGAUUAGAUACCCUGGUAGUCCACGCCCUAAACGAUGCAUACUUGGUGUGAGCGAUUCAUUUCGUUCGUGCCGGAGCUAACGCGUUAAGUAUGCCGCCUGGGGAGUACGGUCGCAAGAUUAAAACUCAAAGGAAUUGACGG
rnacentral:rRNA from 1 species